rnacentral:rRNA from 1 species
AACGAACGCUGGCGGCGCGCCUAAUACAUGCAAGUCGAACGAGAAGCUGUAGCAAUACAGUUGUACAGUGGCGAACGGGUGAGGAAUACAUGGGUGACCUACCCUCGAGUGGGGAAUAACCAGCCGAAAGGUUGGCUAAUACCGCGUACGCUUCCCAGUCUACGGGUUGGGAAGGAAAGCGAUGCCGUGGGUAUCGCGCUCAAGGUUGGGCUCAUGUCCUAUCAGCUUGUUGGGGGGUAACGGCGUCACCAAGGCAACGACGGGUAGCUGGUCUGAGAGGACGAUCAGCCACACUGGCACUGCGACACGGGCCAGACUCCUACGGGAGGCAGCAGUAAGGAAUAUUGCGCAAUGGGCGAAAGCCUGACGCAGCGACGCCGCGUGGGGGA